UGGGGAAUAUUGCACAAUGGGCGAAAGCCUGAUGCAGCAACGCCGCGUGAGGGACGACGGCCUUCGGGUUGUAAACCUCUUUAGCAAGGAAGAAGCGAAAGUGACGGUACUUGCAGAAAAAGCGCCGGCUAACUACGUGCCAGCAGCCGCGGUAAUACGUAGGGCGCAAGCGUUAUCCGGAAUUAUUGGGCGUAAAGAGCUCGUAGGCGGUUUGUCGCGUCUGCUGUGAAAAACCCGAGGCUCAACCUCGGGCCUGCAGUGGGUACGGGCAGACUAGAGUGCGGUAGGGGGAGAUUGGAACUCCUGGUGUAGCGGUGGAAUGCGCAGAUAUCAGGAAGAACACCGAUGGCGACGGCAGAUCUCUGGGGCCGUAACUGACGCUGAGGAGCGAAAAGGGGUGGGGAGCAAAACAGGCUUAGAUACCCUGGUAGUCACCCCCGUAAAACGUUGGGAACUAGUUGUGGGGGUCCAUUCCAACGGAUUCCGUGACGCAGCUAACGCAUUAAGUUCCCCGCCUGGGGGAGU
rnacentral:rRNA from 1 species